rnacentral:rRNA from 1 species
AAUCUUGCGCAUUGGGCGAAAGCCUGACGCAGCCAUGCCGCGUGAAUGAGUAAAGCCUUAGGUUGGUAAAAUUCUUUCACCGGGGACGAUAAUGACGGUACCCGGAGACGAAGCCCCGGCUAACUUCGUGCCAGCAGCCGCGGUAAUACGAAGGGGGCUAGCGUUGCUCGGAAUUAUUGGGCGUAAAGGGCGCGUUGGCGGACAUUUAAGUCGGGGGUGAAAUCCCAGAGCUAAACUCUGGAACUGCCUUUGAUACUGGGUGACUUGAGUAUGAGAGAGGUAUGUGGAACUCCGAGUGAAGAGGUGAAAUUCGUAGAUAUUCGGAAGAACACGAGUGGCGAAGGCGACAUACUGGCUCAUUACUGACGCUGAGGCGCGAAAGCGUGGGGAGCAAACAG